UCAAGCUAUAUAGGGCACACGGCGGAUGCCUAGGCGUCCAGAGGCGAGGAAAGGCGCGACAAGCUGCGAAAAUGCCCGGCGAGCUGCAAAUGAGCAAAGACCCGAGCGUUCCUGAAUGGGGCAACCCGGCGGAAGAAGUUCCGUCAUCCCGAAAGGGAGGCCAGACCCGGCGAACUGAAACAUCUAAGUACCCGGAGGAAAAGAAAUCAACCGAGAUAUCCCGAGUAGCGGCGAGCGAAAAGGACACAGCCCAAACCGGAGCCCUUCGGGGCACCGGGGUAGCGGGCCCGCACAAACCUCAUCAUCCCCAGCCGAACCGCAUGGAAAGGCGGGGCGCAGACAGCGAAACCCUGGUAGGCGAAAGGGAAGGCGAGGGGGCGGGUACCCGGAGUACCACGGGACACGAGGAACCCUGUGGGAAGCAGGGGGGACCACCCUCCAAGGCUAAACACUGCUGGACGACCGAUAGCGAAAAGUACCGUGAGGGAAAAGUGAAAGAGAACCCCGGGAGGGGAAUGAAAAGAACCUGAAACCGUGUGCCUGCAAGCAGUCGGAGCGCCAUACGAGCGUGACGGCGUGCCUAUUGAAGAAUGAACCGGCGAGUCACGGUCACUGGCGAGGUUAAGCGGAAGACGCGGAGCCGAAGCGAAAGCGAGCCUGAAAGGGCGCAAGUCAGUGGCUGUGGACCCGAAACCGCAGCGAUCUACACGAGGCCAGGCUGAAACCCGGGCAAAAACGGGCGGAGGGCCGAACCCAUGCAUGUUGAAAAAUGCUGGGAUGAGCCACGCGUAGGGGUGAAAUGCCAAUCGAGCGCGGAGAUAGCUGGUUCUCCCCGAAAUAGCUUUAGGGCUAGCCUCAGGGGAACCACGUGGCGGUAGGGCACUGAUCGGGCAAGGGGGCGUAAAGCCUGCCGACCCCAGUCAAACCGCGAAUGCCACGUGGCCAUGCCCUGGGAGUCAGAGCGCGAGUGAUAAGACCCAUGCUCAAGAGGGAAACAGCCCAGACCGCCGGCCAAGGUCCCAAAUGCCGUGCUAAGUGGAAAAGGAUGUAGGGCAUCGAAGACAGCCAGGAUGUUGGCUCAGAAGCAGCCACCAUUAAAAGAGUGCGUAAUAGCUCACUGGCCGAGACGUCCUGCGCCGAAGAUAUCCGGGGCUCAAGCACGGAACCGAAGCCGCGGCGGCAGCAAUGCCGGGUAGGGGAGCGUACCCGCAGCCUUGAAACGUGACCGCAAGGACACGCGGAGCGGCGGGCAGCGAGAAUGCCGGUAUGAGUAGCGAAAAGGGCGGCAGGAAUCCGCCCCACCGAAAGCCCAAGGUCUCCCGGGCAACGCUCGUCGACCCGGGGAAAGGCGGGGCCUAAGCCGAAGCGCAGAGCGAAGGCGAAAGGACAGCUGGCGAAGAGUCCAGCCCCACGGAAGGCCGUUUGAAGCACAUGGCGACGCAGGAAGGACGACGCGCGCGCGAUUGGAAGAGCGCGCCGAGCACGUGAGCGAAAGCAGGCGUGCGAGGGAGAAUCCCCCUCGGGGGAGGCGAAGGCGUCGGACGCCCUGCCAAGAAAAGCCACGUGUCAGGCCGACGUGCCCGUACCGCAAACCGACACAGGUGGGCAGAGAGAGAAUCUUAAGGUGCGCGGGGAAACCCCAGCUAAGGAACUCGGCAAAAUGCAUCCGUAACCUUGGAAUAAGGAUGGCCGGCGAGCGUAAGCCAGAGCAUGGACGGCGCAUGCCGGCGGCACAAGAGAGGCCCAGGCGACUGUUUACCACAAACACAGGUACCCGCGAAAGCGAAAGCUGAAGUAUGGGCGCUGACGCCUGCCCGGUGCUGGAAGGUUAAGGGGAACCGUCAGGGGAAACCCGAAGCGGGGAACCGAAGCCCCAGUGAACGGCGGCCGUAACUAUAACGGUCCUAAGGUAGCGAAAUUCCUUGUCGGGCAAGUUCCGACCCGCAUGAAAGGCGUAAUGAUUUGGGCACUGUCUCAACGAGGGGCCCGGUGAAAUUGAAAUACCUGUGAAGAUGCAGGUUACCCGCGACUGGACAGAAAGACCCCAUGGAGCUUCACUGCAGCCUGGCAUUGACCCUCGGCGGCGGACGUACAGGAUAGCCGGGAGACUCGGAAGCAUGCGCGCAAGCGCGUGUGGAGUCGCCCUUGGGAUACCGGCCCUCCGCCGCUGCGGGCCUAACCGAGGCAGAGAUGCCCGAGACAGUGCCAGGGGGACAGUUUGACUGGGGCGGUCGCCUCCGAAAGAGCAACGGAGGCGCCCAAAGGUUCCCUCAGCGCGGACGGAAACCGCGCGCGGAGCGCAAAGGCAGAAGGGAGCCUGACUGAGAGGCGGACACGCCGAACAGGAGCGAAAGCUGGGCUUAGUGAUCCGGUGGAAAGAAAGUGGAAUUGCCAUCGCUCAACGGACAAAAGCUACCCUGGGGAUAACAGGCUAAUCUCUCCCAAGAGUCCAUAUCGACGGGGAGGUUUGGCACCUCGAUGUCGGCUCAUCACAUCCUGGGGCUGGAGCAGGUCCCAAGGGCUGGGCUGUUCGCCCAUCAAAGUGGUACGUGAGCUGGGUUCAGAACGUCGUGAGACAGUUCGGUCCAUAUCCAUCGCGGGCGCAAGGAGCCUGAAGGGGGCUGCUCCCAGUACGAGAGGACCGGAGUGGACGGACCAACGGUGAACCGGUCAUGGCGCCAGCCGUGCGGCCGGGCAGCUGCGUCCGGAAGGGAUAAGCGCUGAAAGCAUCUAAGCGCGAAGCCCGCCCUGAGAUGAGGCUCCCCAUGGAGAGAUCCAGUAAGGCGGCUCGAGGACCACGAGCUUGAUAGGCUGGGAGUGGAAGCGGGGCGACCCGUGGAGCGAGCCAGCACUAAUACGCCGAGGGCUUGACUUG
rnacentral:rRNA from 1 species